UGUUGAAAAUUUCAUCCAUUUUUACUUUUAAAAACCGGCAUGAUGGGUAAAAUAACCAAACAGUGAAAUAUAGCAUGCCACGUGUACCUCAUGUUGACAUAUAUAGAUCAGUUUUUAAUAAUAGAAAUAAAUGAAAUUUUUAACU
rfam:Gossypium raimondii Chr04_contig_1412, whole genome shotgun sequence.